rnacentral:rRNA from 1 species
UACGGGGGGAGCAAGCGUUGUUCGGAUUUACUGGGCGUAAAGGGCGCGUAGGCGGCGUAACAAGUCACUUGUGAAAUCUCCGGGCUUAACCCGGAGCGGCCAAGUGAUACUGUUGUGCUAGAGUGCGGAAGGGGCUACUGGAAUUCUCGGUGUAGCGGUGAAAUGCGUAGAUAUCGAGAGGAACACCUGUGGCGAAGGCGGGUAGCUGGGCCGACACUGACGCUGAGGCGCGAAAGCGUGGGGAGCGAACAGG